GGCUUGUAGAAGGCUUUAGACGCGUACUAUACGUUGCAACCGCCGACUGACUGGUGCCUUCAAGUCUUGCAAGAAGUGUCGAUAUUACGAAAGCGACCUUGUAAAGCGAGAAAAGGUGGCGCAGGUAACAGAUGUGGACACCUAGCUGAGUGGCAGCACAGCCCUGGAGGAGGUCCAGUCCAUUGUGGGUCCAUUGUCUGUUACCCUAGAGGCCAUGAUGACACCUACCAGGUCAACUGUGUUGUGGCACUCUCAAAGGGAGAGAAAUCAGAACUUCAGCCUCACAGUCCUGCUCCUUCUCCAGAAUCCUGUUGGUUCACAAAAUACGUAAUAGCACGUGUCCAUGUAGUUUUUGUGUCACUCAGGCAAAUACAGGAACCAAAUGCAGUCAAAGGAGCAGACAGAUUCCAUACACAAAACAGUUUUAAUCAAAGCUGAUAAACUAGUCCAAAUAGUCAAAUAAAUUUAAACACUGAAGCCCUCUUGAGGUCAGCGGUGGACACUGAAGCCCUCUGGAGGCCAAUCGGAAGGCCGGUGGCAGACACUGAAGCCCUCUUGAGGACAAGAUGAGUCAGCCAUGCUGCCAACUGAGGAGCAGGAACAGGUCAUGGCUAGGCUGCCAACUGAGCAGUAAGAACAGGUCUAGGCCAGGCCAGGUCGCAGUCUGGGGUGUGGCUGGGUACCUCACAUUUUCAGAGGAGGCAGUCUGUAGGCUUACUGAGUUCCCCAGAAAGGAGACACCUGGGGCCUCUCGGAGGUGUCACCUUUCUUUCCUGGCAACUACCAGGCCCUGGAGCUAACCAGGGGGCUAACCAGCUGACAGCCAGCAAACACUGGAAUUGAUGGGGGGCUAGCUUGCAGGUGGCUACCAGGCCCUGGAGCUGACUGGAGGCUGACAAAACCCAGCUGGAGAGAAGGGAGCACAUGGUGGCACAGGCUUGGCUAAAGGCUGAAGCUUGGGCUUAGAGCUGGGUGCUUGGGACUGAGGGUUUGCAGACUCCAUGCUAAACUCAUGGCUGCCAAAUGACAUUUUUGCAAAGGCUCAAUAUCUGAAAGUGUUCAGGGCCUCAAACUAUAUAACUGUUCCUAGUUUCAUACUUCUAUGAAGAAGUAAAAAGUUUUUGGCUCACCAUCUGGAUUAUCUAGGUUAGAUGGACCACUGCCUCAGUGUGAUGGUGUGCAUUGUUUUGUCUUGUUUUGUUUACCAACUCUGUCUUCUGCUGUGAUAUUCCGAGCUCUUUCCCCAGAGGAGAACUCAUGAACAUCAAGGCAAUAACUUCAGCUUACUUGUUUCCAGCUUCUUUCUGUUCAUCAGUGGAAUUAUUGGACAUUCUUGUGAAAGGUGCUUUCAACUGUUCAUGCUGUUAAAUGCCAUAGGAGAGGAAGAUGUGCUGGAAUGCUUGUAUGUCUCUGCAUGCGCGGAAACCAGACUUCACUAUGAGGAAUAUUUCUAUUCAAUAUGUGCUCUCUGUGCAAUAGACGGAACAAACUGCAGCUAUUGAUGGAGAAAGACCAGUGGCGGCCCAAGCCUUUUGGGGGGCCUAAGCAGAAUUUGAUUUGGGGGCCCCCCUCCCACCACUGCAGAGUCACCUGUGCAAGUAUUGACACAAAUGAAUUGACUUAUUCAUUCAUUCAUUCAUUUAUGUCACUUGUAUAAUUCAUUUGAUAUGUCAAUAAAUAAAUAAAUAA